rnacentral:rRNA from 1 species
ACGGAGGAUGCAAGCGUUAUCCGGAUUCAUUGGGUUUAAAGGGUGCGUAGGCGGCUUUUUAAGUCAGUGGUGAAAUCCUGUCGCUUAACGAUAGAAUUGCCAUUGAUACUGAAGAGCUUGAGUUCAGUUGAGGUAAGCGGAAUGUGUAGUGUAGCGCUGAAAUGCUUAGAUCUUACACAGAACCCCGAUUGCGAAGGCAGCUUACUAAACUGCUUCUUACUCUGAUGCACGAAAGCGUGGGGAGCGAACCG